rnacentral:rRNA from 1 species
AUUGAACGCUGGCGGCAGGCCUAACACAUGCAAGUCGAGCGGAUGAAGGGAGCUUGCUCCUGGAUUCAGCGGCGGACGGGUGAGUAAUGCCUAGGAAUCUGCCUGGUAGUGGGGGAUAACGUCCGGAAACGGGCGCUAAUACCGCAUACGUCCUGAGGGAGAAAGUGGGGGAUCUUCGGACCUCACGCUAUCAGAUGAGCCUAGGUCGGAUUAGCUAGUUGGUGGGGUAAAGGCCUACCAAGGCGACGAUCCGUAACUGGUCUGAGAGGAUGAUCAGUCACACUGGAACUGAGACACGGUCCAGACUCCUACGGGAGGCAGCAGUGGGGAAUAUUGGACAAUAGGCGAAAGCCUGAUCCAGCCAUGCCGCGUGUGUGAAGAAGGUCUUCGGAUUGUAAAGCACGUUAAGUUGGGAGGAAGGGCAGUAAGUUAAUACCGUGCUGUUUUGACGUUACCAACAGAAUAAGCACCGGCUAACUUCGUGC